rnacentral:rRNA from 1 species
AGUGGCGAACGGGUGAGUAACGCGUGGAUGAUCUACCUACGAGAUGGGGAUAACUAUUAGAAAUAGUAGCUAAUACCGAAUAAAGUCAAUUAAUUUGUUAAUUGAUGAAAGGAAGCCUUUAAAGCUUCGCUUGUAGAUGAGUCUGCGUCUUAUUAGUUAGUUGGUAGGGUAAAUGCCUACCAAGGCGAUGAUAAGUAACCGGCCUGAGAGGGUGAACGGUCACACUGGAACUGAGAUACGGUCCAGACUCCUACGGGAGGCAGCAGCUAAGAAUCUUCCGCAAUGGGCGAAAGCCUGACGGAGCGACACUGCGUGAAUGAAGAAGGUCGAAAGAUUGUAAAAUUCUUUUAUAAAUGAGGAAUAAGCUUUGUAGGAAAUGACGAAGUGAUGACGUUAGUUUAUGAAUAAGCCCCGGCUAAUUACGUGCCAGCAGCCGCGGUAAUACGUAAGGGGCGAGCGUUGUUCGGGAUUAUUGGGCGUAAAGGGUGAGUAGGCGGAUAUAUAAGUCUAUGCAUAAAAUACCACAGCUCAACUGUGGAACUAUGUUGGAAACUAUAUGUCUAGAGUCUGAUA